AUGCAGCUGAAUAGUUCCAAAUAGGACGAAACGUGCGUCCUGGAU
rnacentral:hammerhead_ribozyme from 1 species